rnacentral:snRNA from 1 species
GGAUGUGAGGGCAGUCUUGCUGCAACAUCUGUCACCCCACUGAUGGCCGGUUGAUUCAGCCGAGCUGGCUGACCAGGCAGGUGACCCCUUUCUCCUUCACGGCUCCAUAUGCAUCCCUCCCAAAGAGUACGGCCUUCCACCAAUAGAGACAGACCGGUCUGCAGUUGAGGGUAUACAAGUAGCUAUGCUCCCCUGUUAGAACCUGCUAGGUGGGGGAGCAGGACUGAGAAACCAGUCCACAGGCUCCAUUAUCAUCUGCAUCUGUAGCAGGCAGCCAUGC